rnacentral:rRNA from 1 species
UACGUAGGGAGCAAGCGUUGUUCGGAUUUACUGGGCGUAAAGGCGCGUAGGCGGCAAUUCAAGUCAGCUGUGAAAUCUCCGGGCUUAACUCGGAACGGUCAGCUGAUACUGCUUUGCUAGAGUGCGGAAGGGGCAAUCGGAAUUCUCGGUGUAGCGGUGAAAUGCGUAGAUAUCGAGAGGAACACCUGAGGUGAAGACGGGUUGCUGGGCCGACACUGACGCUGACAGCGCGAAAGCCAGGGGAGCAAAGCGGA